rnacentral:rRNA from 1 species
UGGGGAAUAUUGCACAAUGGGCGGAAGCCUGAUGCAGCGACGCCGCGUGGGGGAUGAAGGCCUUCGUGUUGUAAACUCCUGUCGACAGGGACGAAGCUUUUGUGACGGUACCUGAAUAAGAAGCACCGGCGAACUACGUGCCAGCAGCCGCGGUAAUACGUAGGUUGCGAGCGUUGUCCGGAAUUAUUGGGCGUAAAGGGCUCGUAGGUUGUUUGUCGCGUCGUCUGUGAAAUUCCGGGGCUUAACUCCGGGCGUGCAGGCGAUACGGGCUGACUUGAGUGCUGUAGGGAAGACUGGUAUUCCUGGUGUAGAGGUGAAAUGCGCAGAUAUCAGGAGGAACACCAAUGGCGGAAGCAGGUCUCUGGGCAGUAACUGACGCUGAGGAGCGAAAGCAUGGCUAGCGAACAGG